rnacentral:lncRNA from 1 species
UGGAUCGAACAGAACCAGGAGGGGGCGACCAGGGGUUUCUCCACAAACCCUAAUUCUCACAAAAUCCUUCAAAUUGAAGCUCAAAUCAAGCCCGAAUCGUCUGCAUGAUUACAAAUUCGUGAUCUCCAUUGAAAGGGGAGUCAUAAGUUUGACUCUUGACGAGCUAGGUGAAGCUUGGAGGAGAAGAUCAAACGGGAUAAAGGCACGAAUAAGACUUGCUUGGAUGAAAGGGGCGAAUAGUAAUUUGGGUAAUUGCGUCGCCAUAAGAAUAUCGAUAAUGAAAGCAAGGAGUCGAAACGGGUCAUUAGGUUGACUCGAGCCAGGUGAAUGUCGAGAGUCCCGGAUGAAGAUCAAGCAUCGAACAAGAACCGAACACACGUUAAACAAAGCUUCCGCAACGUUAUUUUGUCGUUAUUCUAAACGGCGAAUUAAAUCACAUUAUGUAUAUCACUUAAAUUGUAAAAGUUUUUAACAACCCGUAUUUCUAAUGUAUAUGUAAUUAUUAAUUACAUGAUUAUUUCGCUAAAUAUACGUUAAACCUUGAUUUAUAAGAACGGGUGUUACAUUC